UGGGGAAUAUUGGACAAUGGGCGAAAGCCUGAUCCAGCCAUGCCGCGUGUGUGAUGAAGGCCUUAGGGUUGUAAAGCACUUUUGGCGGGGACGAUGAUGACGGUACCCGCAGAAUAAGCUCCGGCUAACUUCGUGCCAGCAGCCGCGGUAAUACGAAGGGAGCUAGCGUUGUUCGGAAUCACUGGGCGUAAAGCGUGCGUAGGCGGUUUCUUAAGUCAGAGGUGAAAUGCCAAGGCUCAACCUUGGAACUGCCUUUGAAACUGGGAAACUGGAGUGUCGGAGGGGAUAGCGGAAUUGCUAAUGUAGCGGUGAAAUGCGUAGAUAUUAGCAGGAACACCGGUGGCGAAGGCGGCUAUCUGGACGACAACUGACGCUGAGGCACGAAAGCGUGGGGAUCAAA
rnacentral:rRNA from 1 species